AUACGGGAGGCAGCAGUAGGGAAUAUUGGGCAAUGGGCGAAAGCCUGACCCAGCAACGCCGCGUGUGUGAUGAAGGCCUUCGGGUCGUAAAACACUUUUCUGGGAGAUGAGAAAGGACAGUAUCCCAGGAAUAAGCCUCGGCUAACUACGUGCCAGCAGCCGCGGUAAAACGUAGGAGGCGAGCGUUAUCCGGAUUCACUGGGCGUAAAGCGUGUGCAGGCGGUUCGGCAAGUUGGAUGUGAAAUCUCCCGGCUCAACUGGGAGGGGUCGUUCAAAACUACCGGACUUGAGGGCAUCAGAGGAAGGUGGAAUUCCCGGUGUAGUGGUGAAAUGCGUAGAUAUCGGGAGGAACACCAGUGGCGAAGGCGGCCUUCUGGGAUGUUCCUGACGCUCAGACACGAAAGCUAGGGUAGCGAACGGGAUUAGAUACCCCGGUAGG
rnacentral:rRNA from 1 species